UCCAAAGCCUUGGAUAAUUCCUAGAGAGUC
rnacentral:piRNA from 1 species